rnacentral:rRNA from 1 species
UACAGAGGUCUCAAACGUUGUUCGGAAUUACUGGGCGUAAAGCGCGUGUAGGCGGCCCUGCAAGUCGGAUGUGAAAUCCCACGGCUCAACCGUGGAAGUGCAUUCGAAACUGCAGGGCUAGAGUCCUGGAGAGGAAGGUGGAAUGCUUGGUGUAGAGGUGAAAUUCGUAGAUAUCAAGCGGAACACCGGUGGCGAAGGCGGCCUUCUGGACAGUGACUGACGCUGAGACGCGAAAGCGUGGGGAGCAAACAGG